UUGCCCGAUACAAAUAACAGUGUAAAUAAAAUAAAAAACCCUAGUGCUUCGUAUCUAACUUCACUUUUCAUUCCACAAUUAGCCGCCUUCUUCUCUUUUAGACCACACACUCUCUCUCAUCCAUCAUCUCUCAACUCCUGUCUCCCCAAGCAAACGAUUUCUCCCGGCUACCACAGAACGACCUUCUACCACCCUCUCAUAGUCUCGUUUGUCAUCUAAUCCUGCCAUCUCUCAUUUAUAUUCAAGAUCCAAUCCUCAGCCCAUCUAAAAUCAAUCAAAAUCUAAUAAAAAUGGCUUGAUCUCUUUCCAAUUCUCUCACCUCCGCAGCAUCCACCCAUUUUUUCAAUUUUCGACACCUCUCUAACUCGGCAGAGGCAUUUCCCGAUGAAAUUUGGUGGCAGAGGGGGUGGAGACGGUUGGGAUGAAGUAAAGAGACGCUUCUAGAUAUCCUGUGUUAGGUUUCAGAUUAAUUCCAAUCGUUUGUCUCAGCUUAUGUCGUCUAAUUAUUGAUCUGCUAUUUUUGUAGCUUAUUGACUAGUUUAAGGGAGUGAAAACCAUGGCCGAACUUAGGGUUUUUGCUAUAAGGUAGUUGUUUUGGGGGUUUUUUGGAAUUCCUUGGGAUACUGGUCUCGCUCUCCAAACAAUGAGACUUGGACACAUGCAAAAUGAACGAAUAUUCCUUUAUCGGAAUAUUCACCUCCGACAAUCAAGUUAGAGAUCUGAAACAGAAAAGGCUAGAGAGAGAAAGUAGAGAGAAGUUGGAGAUAUUUAAUGUUCUUUUGUUGAAAUGUCGUAAUCCACCCCUCCCAUCAUAAAUGAUUGGAUUAUUUAUAGGGGUGGGAGUUUGUGCUCCUUUAGGGUUUGUACCGUAAAAUUCCGUGGGGUCGCCGUUUUGCGGCUUUCAUGAAAAUCUCUCGAGAUAUGGGCCAUGAUGUAAUAAGGCCUUUUUAAUGCUAAUUUCAAGGGCUUUUU